CGUGAAAAUACUUCUACAAGCACAAGCUGCAUGUAAAAUUAUAAAACAGGAAGACAUUUGCACAGACCUCAUGCUUCUGAGACUCUGAUGGGCACGCACAUCAGAAGGGUGGGCUACAUCCAACACUAUCCAGUAAACGCAUGCUCAUUUCUUUCAUCCAAGUUGGACUGAACCAUUCAGCUCAAUCUAUAAUUACUGACAGCCUUCGGUGAUGAUGAUGAUAAUGACAGUGCUACUCUCAAAAGCCAAGAGAUGGAAGAAAUGCAUGUAUCCAUUGAUGAAGAGUGAAUAAACAGAAGGUGGCUUCUAUGUUCAGUGAAAUAUUGUUCAAUCUUAAAGAAGGAGUUUCUAACACACCCUACAACAUGGAUGAACUCAAGAACAUUAUACCAAGUGAAAUAGAUCAGUUCCAAAAAAACAAAUACUGUAUGAUUCCACACAUGUGAAGUAUCUAAAGUAAUAAAAUUAAUAUAAAUACAAA